rnacentral:lncRNA from 1 species
ACAAAACAAGGCUGAUACGUUCGUGAACUUACCACAGUUGUGGUUACCUACAUGAGACUUAUACAGGAUUGGACCUGUCACCAUUUCAAGAUGUAUGGAAAUUGACUGACUCCUCUCAGUUCAUGGGGCUUAGCCAUCCCAGGACCUAUACUCUGUCUCCUCUUCCCUCAAGUCUGCUUUGAAAGGAACUUAGGGAAACUCAGAAAAACCUGCUGUGUUUGUCUCACGCUUGAGUUCUGAUUUUCCCAUUAAAAUGGUUGUUACCAAC